UGGGGUGUCGCCAAGUGGUAAGGCAGGGGCCUUUGAAGCCCCCAUUCGUAGGUUCGAAUCCUACCACCCCAGCCA
rnacentral:tRNA from 1 species